rnacentral:rRNA from 1 species
GUUAGGAAUAUUGGACAAUGGGCGAAAGCCUGAUCCAGCCAUGCCGCGUGAACGAUGAAGGCCUUCGGGUUGUAAACCGCUUUUGUCAGGGAAGAAAUCCUUUGGGUUAAUACCUCGGAGGGAUGACGGUACCUGAAGAAUAAGCACCGGCUAACUACGUGCCAGCAGCCGCGGUAAUACGUAGGGUGCGAGCGUUAAUCGGAAUUACUGGGCGUAAAGCGUGCGCAGGCGGUUUUGUAAGAUCGAUGUGAAAUCCCCGGGCUCAACCUGGGAAAUGCAUUGGUGACUGCAAGGCUGGAGUGCGGCAGAGGGGGAUGGAAUUCCGCGUGUAGCAGUGAAAUGCGUAGAUAUGCGGAGGAACACCGAUGGCGAAGGCAAUCCCCUGGGCCUGCACUGACGCUCAUGCACGAAAGCGUGGGGAGCAAACGGGAUUAGAAACCCUAGUAGUCC